UACGGCGGUUAUGGCGGGAAGGAAACACCCGGUUACAUUCCGAACCCGGAAGUUAAGCUUCUCUGCGCCGAUGGUACUGCACUCGGGAGGGUGUGGGAGAGUAGGUCGCCGCCGGAC
rnacentral:rRNA from 6 species